rnacentral:rRNA from 1 species
UACGUAGGGGGCAAGCGUUGUCCGGAAUCAUUGGGCGUAAAGCGCACGUAGGCGGCCCUGUAAGUCCGUUGUGAAAGUCAAAGGCUCAACCUUUGAAUGCCGAUGGAUACUGCAGGGCUAGAGUCCGGAAGAGGCGAGUGGAAUUCCUGGUGUAGCGGUGGAAUGCGCAGAUAUCAGGAGGAGCACCAAUAGCGAAGGCAGCUCGCUGGGACGGUACUGACGCUAAGGUGCGAAAGCGUGGGGAGCGAACAGG